UCGGGUGGCAUAAAAACAUGCAGCUGUCAAACUCCUCACUCUUUCAGCCAUGGACAGACGUGUGCUGCUGCUUCUGUUGUGUCUGCAGCUUAGUCUGAUCAUCACGUCUGCAGACGGCGUGCAGACAGAACAACAGUCGUCUGACACGAUGAAGAAAGAUCGGGACAAACGUUCAGACGGAUGUGCAUUACGACCAGGAGGCUGCUCAUUCUGGGAAGGUGAAGGCAUCCUAAAUCAGAUCCUAAUGUUGCACAGAUGAUGAGAACCUGCAUACUGCUCUGGAUCACUCCCAAUAGAUCCUGAGCCAGAAGAAGAAUCCGGAUCACCUGCAAAAUUCAGUGGAGUCUUCCAUGCCAUGAUAUCUUGGCAUAAUCCUUCAAAACCUAUAGAAAGUGAAAUGGAUCCAGAACUGAGAUCACCUCCAAAAUGUAAUGGAGUCUUCCAUGGCCUAAUAUCUGUCUGUAGUGAAACGUCCGUAAAAAUCUGUGAAGUAGUUUUGACGUAAUCCUUAAAAGUCGACAAAGUGAAAUCCUGAUCCAGAAUCCAAAUCCGGAUGCAGAUAACCUCCAAAAUGUAAUGGAGUCUUCCAAGGCCUAACAUCAAUGCCUGGUGAAAAUCUAUUAAGUGUUUUUUUGUUUGUUUGUUUGUUUGUUUGAUGUAAUCCUUGAAAGCCUAAAGUGAAAUCUUGAUCCAUAAUCCGGAUCACCUCCAAUUAAUCAAAACCCGUGCAGCAGUCUUGACAUAAUCAUGCUAACAGACAGACAAAUAAAUAAACGCAGAUUAUUUUAUUAUGUCCUUGGCGCACGUAAUAAAUAAAUAUUUUAGAUUUUG